UACGAAGGGGGCUAGCGUUGCUCGGAAUUACUGGGCGUAAAGGGAGCGUAGGCGGAUAGUUUAGUCAGAGGUGAAAGCCCAGGGCUCAACCUUGGAAUUGCCUUUGAUACUGGCUAUCUUGAGUGUGGGAGAGGUAUGUGGAACUCCGAGUGUAGAGGUGAAAUUCGUAGAUAUUCGGAAGAACACCAGUGGCGAAGGCGACAUACUGGCCCAUUACUGACGCUGAGGCUCGAAAGCGUGGGGAGCAAACAGG
rnacentral:ncRNA from 3 species